rnacentral:rRNA from 1 species
GACGGACGCUGGCGGCAUGCCUAAUACAUGCGAGUCGAGCGAACAGAUGAAGUGCUUGCACUUCUGACGUUAGCGGCGAACGGGUGAGUAACACGUAAGGAAUCUACCUAUAAGCGGGGGAUAACAUUCGGAAACGGGUGCUAAUACCGCAUAAUAUCUUCUUCCGCAUGGAAGAAGAUUGAAAGACGGCUCUGCUGUCACUUAUAGAUGACCUUGCGGUGCAUUAGUUAGUUGGUGGGGUAAUGGCCUACCAAGACGAUGAUGCAUAGCCGACCUGAGAGGGUGAUCGGCCACAUUGGGACUGAGACACGGCCCAAACUCCUACGGGAGGCAGCAGUAGGGAAUCUUCCGCAAUGGGCGAAAGCCUGACGGAGCAAUGCCGCGUGAGUGAAGAAGGCCUUCGGGUCGUAAAACUCUGUUAUAAGAGAAGAACAAAUUGUAGAGUAACUGCUACAGUCUUGACGGUAUCUUAUCAGAAAGCCACGGCUAACUACGUGCCAGCAGCCGCCGUAA